GCACUGAAAGGGAGAAGUGGAUGCAGAAUUAGUUUUCUCCAAUGGAGUCUCACUGGGUUUGUAAAACCCCCUUAGGCAGGGUGCAGGUCCCAUGAGCAGCAGCAGAAGACAUACACAAAACUCAAGCUCUAAGACCAACAAUCAAAAAAUGGGACCUCAUGAAACUGAAAAGCUUCUGUAAAGCAAAGGACACUGUCCUCAAAACAAAACGACUGUCUACAGAUUGGGAAAACAUCUUCACCAACCCUAUAUCUGACAGUGGGCUAAUAUCAAGUAUAUAAAAAGAACUCCAGAAAUUAAACAGCAACAAAUCGAGUAAUCCAAUUAAAAAUGGAGUACAGAGCUAAACAGAGAAUUCUCAAUAGAGGAAUAUCGAAUGGCAGAGAAACACUUAAAGAAAUGUUCAACGUCCUUAGUCAUCAGGGAAAUGCAAAUCAAAAGAUUUCACCUUACACCCGUCAGAAUGGCUAAGAUGAAUAACCCAAGUGACAACACAUGCUGGAGAUGAUGUGGAGAAAGGGGAACCCUCUUCCACUGCUGAGCCCGUGAUAUCACCAGGCAUGUGUUCUUGUCAUAGUUAAUGCAUAAGGUCUAUCUCAUGGAGCAGGUCUAAGUCCAAUUACUGUACCUGAAGGGAGCCGCAAUGGAAUAAAGAUUGGAUGGAAACAUAGACAUAUUUACAAACAAACAAACAAACAAAACACUGUGGGGUCUUGUGGAUCUAAUGGAGAGGCACCAACUGUGCAAGAGCU